CCGUCAUUCAGUCACCUUGCCCUCACCAGGUGUUGAAUGAAGACCCCACCACCACCUCAGCCUUUGCUAGGAUUGUAGCAGAUGAUGGAUUGUUGAUGGAUAAACUGUGGCACCACAUCGUCUCUCUUCUCUCCCCUGACAGCACAUUAACAGACGCGAGGAGUCUCAGAGCUGGGCUGCUGAUUUGGAAAGUUGUGACUCUGAAACAGAGGCUGCAGAAACAGACCCAGUGUUCCCA